rnacentral:rRNA from 1 species
AUUGAACGCUGGCGGCAUGCCUUACACAUGCAAGUCGAACGGUAACGGGCCUUCGGGUGCCGACGAGUGGCGAACGGGUGAGUAAUACAUCGGAACGUGCCCGAUCGUGGGGGAUAACGAGGCGAAAGCUUUGCUAAUACCGCAUACGAUCUACGGAUGAAAGGAGGGGACCGCAAGGGCCUGCGCGGACGGGGCGGGCGGUGGCCGAUUAGGUAGUUGGGGGGAUAAAAGCUUACCAAACCGACGAAUUGGAGAGGGUCUGGGAGGAUGAUCAGGCCAACUGGGAAUGAGACCCGGGCCAGACUCCUACGGGAGGCAGCAGUGGGGAAUUUUGGACAAUGGGCCCAAGCCUGAUCCAGCCAUGCCGCGGGCAGGAUGAAGGCCUUCGGGUUGUAAACUGCUUUUGUACGGAAAGAAAAGCCUUCUUCUAAUACAGGAGGGUCAUGACGGUACCGUAAGAAUAAGCACCGGCUAACUACGUGCCAGCCGCCGCCGUAA